AGAGUUUGAUCCUGGCUCAGGAUGAACGCUGACAGAAUGCUUAACACAUGCAAGUCGAUGGGGAAGUGGUGCUUGCACCAUGGUAACCAUGGCGGACGGGUGAGUAACGCGUAAGGGACUUACCUGCAGGACUGGGAUAACAGGGGGAAACUCCUGACAAGACCGGAUAAUGUCAUGGAGCUGCAUGGCUUUAUGAUGAAAGGAGACGCCUGCGGAGAGCCUUGCGUCCUAUUAGCUAGUUGGUGAGGUAAGGGCUCACCAAGGCGAAGAUAGGUAGCCGGCCUGAGAGGGUGGACGGCCACAAGGGGACUGAGAUACGGCCCUUACUCCUACGGGAGGCAGCAGUGGGGAAUAUUGGACAAUGGGGGCAACCCUGAUCCAGCAAUUCUGUGUGCACGAAGAAGGUUUUCGGAUUGUAAAGUGCUUUCAGCAGGGAAGAAGUAAGUGACGGUACCUGCAGAAGAAGCGACGGCUAAAUACGUGCCAGCAGCCGCGGUAAUACGUAUGUCGCGAGCGUUAUCCGGAAUUAUUGGGCAUAAAGGGCAUCUAGGCGGCCUGACAAGUCAGGGGUGAAAACCUGCGGCUCAACCGCAGGCCUGCCUUUGAAACUGUCAGGCUGGAGUACCGGAGGAGGUGGACGGAACUGCACGAGUAGAGGUGAAAUUCGUAGAUAUGUGCAGGAAUGCCGAUGAUGAAGAUAGUUCACUGGACGGUAACUGACGCUGAAGUGCGAAAGCCGGGGGAGCGAACAGGAUUAGAUACCCUGGUAGUGCACGCCGUAAACGAUGAGUGCUAGGUGUUAGACCCUUUCCGGGGUUUAGUGCCGCAGCUAACGCAUUAAGCACUCCGCCUGGGGAGUACGACCGCAAGGUUGAAACUCAAAGGAAUUGACGGGGGCCCGCACAAGCGGUGGAGCAUGUGGUUUAAUUCGAAGCAACGCGAAGAACCUUACCAGGUCUUGACAUCCCCUCUGACCACUCUAGAGAUAGAGUUUUCCUUCGGGACAGAGGUGACAGGUGGUGCAUGGUUGUCGUCAGCUCGUGUCGUGAGAUGUUGGGUUAAGUCCCGCAACGAGCGCAACCCCUAUUGUUAGUUGCCAUCAUUCAGUUGGGCACUCUAGCGAGACUGCCGGUAAUAAACCGGAGGAAGGUGGGGAUGACGUCAAAUCAUCAUGCCCCUUAUGACCUGGGCUACACACGUGCUACAAUGGCUGGUACAACGAGUCGCAAGCCGGUGACGGCAAGCUAAUCUCUUAAAGCCAGUCUCAGUUCGGAUUGUAGGCUGCAACUCGCCUACAUGAAGUCGGAAUCGCUAGUAAUCGCGGAUCAGCACGCCGCGGUGAAUACGUUCCCGGGCCUUGUACACACCGCCCGUCACACCACGAGAGUUUGUAACACCCGAAGUCGGUGAGGUAACCUUUUAGGAGCCAGCCGCCUAAGGUGGGAUAGAUGAUUGGGGUGAAGUCGUAACAAGGUAACC
rnacentral:rRNA from 1 species